rnacentral:lncRNA from 1 species
UAGGCAGUCGUUGGAGGACAAAGGAAGGACGAAGGACGAACACAAUUAAAGGAAGGAUGCUUGGGAGCCAGAGACAGACUUACAUUCCCAUGGAAAUGAGAAAUGGUGCCAGUCCUUGAGUAGGGAGCCAAACACAAUGCAAGUCCUUCUGUAUGUUCUCUGCCUUCAAUCUUGUAGACCUCUACUGCUAUUGUCUUCAGUAUCUUCUGUUGUUUUGACAUUGACAUUGUCUGGAGAGACUGGCAAAAAUGACUAAUGGAUAAAACUACAACAGCAGUUACGAGGCUUACAGAACUACCAGUAGAUACUGGAAAUGUGCGGCAGGAUGAAGAGGUUCACCAGAGCAUUGAAUAACUUCCAGCUGGAGCUUGUCUACCACUUUCUUGAGUUCAUUUGAACCAUCUGUAUAGUCAACACCAUAUUUCAGGCUGGUGAGUCUGUGGUUGGUCAUCUACACCAAGAAAUGAGGUGACUUCUUUGCUUGUUCUGAUGUUUGCCAUCACUUGUCUACUGUCCCGAGAAUCACCAUGGCGAUGACCUAGUUGUCAGAAUGGGAACCAGAACAUACCCUAUUGAAAACCCAAAACAC